rnacentral:lncRNA from 1 species
GAAGCAAGCCAGUAAAGAACAUCUCUCCAUGGCCUCUGCAUCAGCUCCUGCUUCCUGACAUGCUUGAGUUCCAGUCCUGACUUCCUUUGGUGAUGAACAGCAGUGUGGAAGUGAUAGAAUGACCCAGAAGAUCAUGGGGCAUCUAAGCUUCUAGGAGGAUGUGAAGUUGUCCAUCUUCAGCAGUCUGGUUGAAGCUGGAGGAUAGAAUGACCCAGAAUAUCGUGGGGUGUCUAAGCUUCAAGGAGGAUGUGAAGUUGCACGUCUUGCAACUUGUGACUUGCACCUGGUGGGCAGCUGUUGCUAGCCAAUGGCUCGACGAGCAUACCGGUUCCCACUUAUUUAAUUACUACAGGGCUCCCGAUGGAGUACCUGCUUAGCAGGUCCCAUUCUUGAUCCUCAGCACUGCGAAGAAAACACAGAAGAGAAAUAAAGGCUGCUGCGUAGUUUUGGAUCAGACAGAAAACAAAGGAAGGAACACCAGGAUGCAAUGAUGAUUUAAUUUGCAACAGAAUCGCCCGUUUUCCCUUUGAUUCCCACUUGGAUGUAACACUGGUACUGCAAAGCAUCCCUGAGGCCUUUCUCGCUGUGCCAAGAUGCACAUCUUCUGACAGAGCCAUGGCCUGAGGCUGCAAAGAUGGUGCUGGGGCCACGUGAAAACUGUCAGCCUGAGGGAGGAGCAGAUAGCUCCAGGCCCAAGACUGGGCUUGUUUGCUUUCCUCGUGGAUAGCGGGAUGCUAAGUAUGUAGUUAACGGUCCCUUCACCUCCACUCCCAGCAGUGGUCUGGAGAAGGAGCAAGACUCAAAUUAUGCUACUCUGGACCAGACUUUCUCCAAGGCAGGGCCUGUGCCUUGGUGUUCCUGGGGGUCUUGCUCGAUGCCUGACUGUGACUGCAUGUCAAGGAGUC